UACGUAGGUGGCAAGCGUUGUCCGGAUUUACUGGGCGUAAAGCGCGCGCAGGCGGACUGAUCAGUCUGGGGUGAAAUCUCCCGGCUCAACUGGGAGCGGUCCCUGGAUACUGUCAGUCUUGAGAGACCUAGAGGAGAGCGGAAUUCCCGGUGUAGUGGUGGAAUGCGUAGAUAUCGGGAGGAACACCGAUGGCGAAGGCAGGUCUCUGGGCCAUUACUGACACUGAGAAGCGAAAGCAUGGGGAGCGAACAGG
rnacentral:rRNA from 1 species